UACGUAGGGGGCUAGCGUUGUCCGGAAUUACUGGGUGUAAAGGGCGUGUAGGCGGGAUAUUAAGUCAGAUGUGAAACCCCAAGGCUCAACUUUGGAACUGCAUCUGAAACUAAUAUUCUUGAGUGGAGGAGAGGAAAGCGGAAUUCCCAGUGUAGCGGUGAAAUGCGUAGAUAUUGGGAGGAACACCAGUGGCGAAGGCGGCUUUCUGGACUUUAACUGACGCUGAGGCGCGAAAGCGUGGGGAG
rnacentral:rRNA from 1 species